rnacentral:rRNA from 1 species
GUCUCAAAAGCGUACUAGUUUCAGCGGCGGACGGGUGAGUAACGCGUUAGAAUCUGCCCCAAACUGAGGGAUAACUCAUCGAAAGAUGAGCUAAUACCGCAUAUGGCCUUCGGGUUAAAGCUUCGGCGGUUUGGGAAGAGCUUGCGCAAGAUUAGCUAGUUGGUGAGGUAAAAGCUCACCAAGGCGACGAUCUUUAGCUGGUCUGAGAGGAUGAUCAGCCACACUGGAACUGAGACACGGUCCAGACUUC